CUCAAGGGAGAGGCAUCAUCUCUGCAUAUCCUCAUCUUGCCCACUCUACCCGCUUGCCGAGAAUCUUAAGAGAAACGCCUAGAAACUAGGAAAGCAGAUCCCAUCAGGUUUUCCACUUUCCUCAUCCCAGAUUCCAUGUCAGUGCCAGGGAAGCCCACGUGAGUUCAAUGCACACUAUGUGGCUGUUCCUAUACUAUUGCAGCCACACUUACCUCUCAGAACACAUGACCAAAUGGUGUUCAAAUUAUUACCUCAAAUCAAUUAGGUUUAGUUGACAUUAAGGGGUCUUCUGGAAAUCAAGCAAAUUAAUAGAAUGUUUUAAAUACAUAUCCCCCAUAAUUGACACACACCAACACAGUUUAAAAUGCAGGCAGACAUGCUGACACUGAUGUCAUAUAAAAAACUCCUUUGGCAUAGGACUAACUAUCGAGGCAUGCUGGUAUGCAUGAUAAGGCCCACAGAAUGGCAUGGCUGGGCUUAUCAUGUGUGGCCAAGCCCGGUUCCCCUUCUCCUAUCGCUGGGCCCACUGGCACAGGAAAGACUCGUCCCCCUUAUCUUCCCCCAGCUGAAGAAAUAACACUUGACUAUUGCCCUCUCUGUAGCUCCCCUGCUCAGAAGAUUCAGAUGGCCUCCAUUUCUCUACUUAUUUUACUUCAUGGGAAAAGGGUUCUGAAAACACUGUCUGGCCCAUCUCAGGUGUUCUGGGAAACAAUUUGAUUGAGAGAGUCCCAAAAAGUUUCAGUUUGUUAAUGUAUUAACAUUUGUUUUGAAAAUUCAGCUGAUUUUGGUCAUACUUUUUGGUCUCCAACAGCACUUGAGUUUAUUUAUGAUUAGUUUUAGUCAGCAUAGUCAGCCAAAUUUCUUUAUAUUACACAUCAGCAUGUCUUAUUAUUUAAUCAUGUGUGCUGUGUAUUGUUUACAACGAUUGCUUUUCACUUAGUUCCUUACAUUCUCACGCGUGAAAUCGAAUUGAAUCGCAAGGACCAUUUUGCUUGCCCGUAUGAUGUGCUUUUCCCCCACAGAUUUGCAUGGGCUAAAGUGACAUUGAAACAGCUGUUGCCAAUUCCCUAUGACCUCUUCCCUCCCCAAAUGAAUUGCUGAACUCGCCCCAGAACUAGAGUUAGAAGGAACUGGAAGUUGUCCUUAGCACGGCCUUCGGACAGGGGACCUCUCGACCAAAGGACAUCCACCUUGUUUCUGCUGCUCCUCUCCGCUGUUCACCUAAUGUGGGAAAAGGACACAAAUCACAACGCUAUCAACAGAAUUACUAAAGACACGGGGGACACGCCAAACGCAUCUGCAUGAUGCUACACCCAAUGCUACAACCCAGCAGGCCCAGCAUAGCGCGAGAGGCAGCCCAGCAAGCAGACAUCACAGCUGAACCCUGCUCGGGUAGAGCCAAAGGAAAGAACACUGCUCGGAAAGAGCCGAACGAAAAAUCAAACAUUGACCUCCAUGAGUGAAUCAACUGCUGUGUUAGUUUGCCCCGGUGCUCAUAGUUCGCCUUUAGCCUAAAUCCUAGCCCUUUUAUUUUUCCAAUAGGGCCGUAGUGAUCGUGUGUAUUGUCAAAACUGAAUUUAUCAUAAAGAACCUUUGAUUGUA